UGAAUAGCAGCGCUGUCUGUGUUGCUAAGGUGGGAAUUGGGACGGGGUCUCAUAUCUAGGAGUUCUUAGGUAGAAGGAUCAUUGGGUAGUGAUUAAGUGAGAAGUUGUAAACGGGUGAGUUUAGCUUCGAAGUAAUACUGCUGAUAGUGGACUUCAUUCCUGGAUUGGUAUCCCCCAGAGUAGGCUUUAGGCUGAACUGGGUUAACAACUCUCGUGUGUUAUUUACUUUACUGUUUGUAUUGUUUUGUGUUAGUUACUCUGUUUAUAGACAAGUGUUGGCGCACUAGUAACAACAUCUGUCUACAACAGACAAGUGUUGCCACACCUUGAGCAACACCUGUCCACCGUGUGCCAGGAAUUUCAAUUGGUAUCAGAGCAGGCACCCUGUUCUGAAU
rnacentral:lncRNA from 1 species